GAACGGUGAAGCCAAGCUUGCUUGGUGGAUCAGUGGCGAACGGGUGAGUAACACGUGAGCAACCUGCCCUGAACUCUGGGAUAAGCGCUGGAAACGGCGUCUAAUACUGGAUAUGAGCUGCGGAGGCAUCUUCGUGGUUGGAAAGAUUUUUCGGUUUGGGAUGGGCUCGCGGCCUAUCAGCUUGUUGGUGAGGUAAUGGCUCACCAAGGCGUCGACGGGUAGCCGGCCUGAGAGGGUGACCGGCCACACUGGGACUGAGACACGGCCCAGACUCCUACGGGAGGCAGCAGUGGGGAAUAUUGCACAAUGGGCGGAAGCCUGAUGCAGCAACGCCGCGUGAGGGAUGACGGCCUUCGGGUUGUAAACCUCUUUUAGCAGGGAAGAAGCGUGAGUGACGGUACCUGCAGAAAAAGCGCCGGCUAACUACGUGCCAGCAGCCGCGGUAAUACGUAGGGCGCAAGCGUUAUCCGGAAUUAUUGGGCGUAAAGAGCUCGUAGGCGGUUUGUCGCGUCUGCUGUGAAAACCCGAGGCUCAACCUCGGGCCUGCAGUGGGUACGGGCAGACUAGAGUGCGGUAGGGGAGAUUGGAAUUCCUGGUGUAGCGGUGGAAUGCGCAGAUAUCAGGAGGAACACCGAUGGCGAAGGCAGAUCUCUGGGCCGUAACUGACGCUGAGGAGCGAAAGGGUGGGGAGCAAACAGGCUUAGAUACCCUGGUAGUCCACCCCGUAAACGUUGGGAACUAGUUGUGGGGUCCAUUCCACGGAUUCCGUGACGCAGCUAACGCAUUAAGUUCCCCGCCUGGAGAGUACGGCCGCAAGGCUAAAACUCAAAGGAAUUGACGGGGACCCGCACAAGCGGCGGAGCAUGCGGAUUAAUUCGAUGCAACGCGAAGAACCUUACCAAGGCUUGACAUACACGAGAACGCUGCAGAAAUGUAGAACUCUUUGGACACUCGUGAACAGGUGGUGCAUGGUUGUCGUCAGCUCGUGUCGUGAGAUGUUGGGUUAAGUCCCGCAACGAGCGCAACCCUCGUUCUAUGUUGCCAGCACGUAAUGGUGGGAACUCAUGGGAUACUGCCGGGGUCAACUCGGAGGAAGGUGGGGAUGACGUCAAAUCAUCAUGCCCCUUAUGUCUUGGGCUUCACGCAUGCUACAAUGGCCGGUACAAAGGGCUGCAAUACCGCGAGGUGGAGCGAAUCCCAAAAAGCCGGUCCCAGUUCGGAUUGAGGUCUGCAACUCGACCUCAUGAAGUCGGAGUCGCUAGUAAUCGCAGAUCAGCAACGCUGCGGUGAAUACGUUCCCGGGUCUUGUACACACCGCCCGUCAAGUCAUGAAAGUCGGUAACACCUGAAGCCGGUGGCCCAACCCUUGUGGAGGGAGCCGUCGAAGGUGGGAUCGGUAAUUAGGACUA
rnacentral:rRNA from 1 species